rnacentral:pre_miRNA from 1 species
AUUGUGCGACAAACUCCGUCCAGCGGGUGUUGAAUAGAAUCCAUCACUGGGCAAAGUUUGUCGCAUAAC